rnacentral:rRNA from 1 species
GAUGAACGCUGGCGGCGUGCUUAACACAUGCAAGUCGAGCGAAGCACUUUACUUAGAUUUCUUCGGGAUGAAGAGUUUUGUGACUGAGCGGCGGACGGGUGAGUAACGCGUGGGUAACCUGCCUCAUACAGGGGGAUAACAGUUAGAAAUGACUGCUAAUACCGCAUAAGACCACAGCACCGCAUGGUGCAGAGGUAAAAACUCCGGUGGUAUGAGAUGGACCCGCGUCUGAUUAGCUGGUUGGUGGGGUAACGGCCUACCAAGGCGACGAUCAGUAGCCGGCCUGAGAGGGCGACCGGCCACAUUGGGACUGAGACACGGGCCCAAACGUCCUACGGGAGGCAGCAGUGGGGAAUAUUGGCACAAUGGGGGAAACCCUGAUGCAGCGACGCCG